rnacentral:lncRNA from 1 species
AUGUGGCUACUACACCCUUACAUGUGGCUACUACACCCUUACAUGUGGCUACUACACCCCUACAUGUGGCUACUACACCCCUACAUGUGGCUACUACACCCCUUCAUGUGGCUACUACACCCCUACAUGUGGCUACUACACCCCUACAUGUGGCUACUACACCCCUUCAUGUGGCUACUACACCCUUACAUGUGGCUACUACACCCUUACAUGUGGCUACUACACCCCUACAUGUGGCUACUACACCCCUACAUGUGGCUACUACACCCCUACAUGUGGCUACUACACCCUUACAUGUGGCUACUACACCCUUACAUGUGGCUACUACACCCCUACAUGUGGCUACUACACCCCUUCAUGUGGCUACUACACCCUUACAUGUGGCUACUACACCCUUACAUGUGGCUACUACACCCCUUCAUGUGGCUACUACACCCCUACAUGUGGCUACUACACCCCUUCAUGUGGCUACUACACCCUUACAUGUGGCUACUACACCCUUACAUGUGGCUACUACACCCCUACAUGUGGCUACUACACCCCUUCAUGUGGCUACUACACCCCUACAUGUGGCUACUACACCCCUUACAUGUGGCUACUACACCCCUACAUGUGGCUACUACACCCCUACAUGUGGCUACUACACCCUACAUGUGGCUACUACACCCCUACAUGUGGCUACUACACCCUUACAUGUGGCUACUACACCCCUACAUGUGGCUACUACACCCCUACAUGUGGCUACUACACCCUUACAUGUGGCUACUACACCCCUUCAUGUGGCUACUACACCCUUACAUGUGGCUACUACACCCCUACAUGUGGCUACUACACCCCUACAUGUGGCUACUACACCCCUUCAUGUGGCUACUACACCCCUUCAUGUGGCUACUACACCCCUACAUGUGGCUACUACACCCCUACAGUGGCUACUACACCCCUUCAUGUGGCUACUACACCCCUUCAUGUGGCUACUACACCCCUACAUGUGGCUACUACACCCCUUCAUGUGGCUACUACACCCCUACAUGUGGCUACUACCCCCUACAUGUGGCUACUACACCCCUUCAUGUGGCUACUACACCCCUACAUGUGGCUACUACACCCCUACAUGUGGCUACUACACCCCUACAUGUGGCUACUACACCCCUUCAUGUGGCUACUACACCCCUACAUGUGGCUACUACACCCCUACAUGUGGCUACUACACCCCUACAUGUGGCUACUACACCCCUACAUGUGGCUACUACACCCCUACAUGUGGCUACUACACCCCUACAGUGGCUACUACACCCUUACAUGUGGCUACCAAAGCCAUACAUGUGA